CUCCCCCAAGCCCUUUCGCCGGCGUCGCGCGGGGCACGCCGGGUAACGCGGCCGGCGUCGUCGUCGAGUCAUCCUGGACAGACGCCGCUUCUGGCUCCCCUGGCGUUCUUUUUCCUCCCUUGUUCCAUUGCCUCGAGUGUAGGCGCGGCCAAUGUGAUGAACUAAAAGCAAACUCGGGAAGAACAAUCAGUACUUUUUUUUUUUUCACUCCCUUUACCAAAAAAUAAAACGCAGCUUCUGGGAACACGGUGGCGGCGCGCUGGGAUGACGUCACGGCUAGCGAAAUUACUAGAAAGGUACUCUGCCACUUGGCGCGGCGGUCAAGUCGUCUCCCAUCCACGUCUCACAGCCGGUGGGCGGCGCUGCUGGCUUGUUGACCUGGCUGUCUUCCCCUCCCUUCUGUGUCCAGUUUAUGUUGAGUAUUUGCGUACCUGAAAGGCUUUCAAGGCUUUAUUCUUACUAUCUUGUACGCGGGAGUUGGAAGGUGAAUCAGUAGAGGCGAAAGGUUCUCCUCAUAGCGAAAGAAAAAUGGAGUGAACGCUCUGUCCCCUCUGAGCAAGCCCACAGGAUCACUGCUUAGUGGCCGAACCGGUCUGGCCAGAUCACGCAGCCUACACUGAUCUUGGGCUCUGCUGACAGCCCUGGGCGAUCCCCCCCCCCCCGCAUUUCUGUGACUCUUGUCUCCCGAAUUGUGGGCAGAAGCGGUGCCCGGGGAGCAUCCACCCAGCAGGACAAUGCAAUGUAGUUGAGGCUUCCGUUUUUAUAUUCCUCCAUCAAAGUAACUUACUGCGCCACGUCAGACUUCAGGUGGUUUCAAGGAUAGUUGUUCAAAAAUUAUUUUGAGUGUAAUAUAGAUAUAAGUAAACGGGAAAUUGUUUUCUGAACUGUGCAUUUGAAGUGACAUCAUCAUUUGUUUUUUCAAGAUGACUUGUAAGGAAUAUACAACCGCGUACGUUAGUUUGAACACAAAUGUAAACCCUGACAGCCAGCCAACCCAAAUAUGCAAAGAAAUUCAACCCCGUUGCAAGAUUAAAUACUGUUGCAUAAACAUUAUUUAGCACAGCUUUGGAAUCUGGGUUAAAGAAGUUCUGAAGGUAUAAAUUGCAAUAUGGACAUCGUAGGAUAAUCACCUAAAUUUCUGCCUGCAGUUCAAUAACAUGAAGAAAACAGGCCCUCUGCUGAAAGAUAACUAUUUGGUUAUAUCUACAUGUGAAGUAAUCAUUUCUCAAAGUAGGAAGUGCUACCACUGGACAAGCAGUCGUUUGGAAUUUAUUCCAUAUAUGUAAAGAAAAUAUCUUCCCAACCUCAUCAGUUCGCCCUGGUUUCUUGGAAUGCUGUAUAGGGUGUACAUGCUUUGCCUAGGCUACUUUCCCUGCCUAAAAUGACUUUCCCCUUUUCCUUCAACUACUUAUCUUACAUUUUUUCUAUAUCACGUUCUUAAAGAAGACUUCACUUCCUACUAGAGACCCAGAUAUCUCUGCUCCAGUAAACACUGUGAAUUAGUCUGUCUCUGAAAAAUCUCUAAGAGAGACAAAGCUCCUUAUAGCAGUCCAGAUGCACUGAAAACGAACAAAUAAACUGUGACAAAUGGCAGAGGAAUGAGACCACCAGAGCAGGCUAGCGGAAGGAUCCCCUCCUAGGCAUCAAAACCAUCAAGAACUGUGAAGGACUGAAAAAUUUAUAUUCUUGCAAGCUAAAGUCUGCCAUUGUUUUAUUGAUGUGGACAGAAGAGAGACUCUUAGGUCAGAGACAAAGAACUUAUUAUUCACAGCAACAGCAGUAGACUAAGUAUCAGCAUUUUCAUGUGCCAUUUCCUACAGGCCACAAAAAGGUGGCUCAAGGAAGGCUAGGUGUCACCUGCAUGUUGCAAGAUACCUUGUGGGGCUGCAAUCCAAGAAAGGAACUCUGAGAUUCGGAAACCCAAAUCUUUUAUAAUCGGCAACAAACAUGCCUGCCCUUUGUUUCAGAGAGGACCACUGUCUUCCAAGACUGAGUAUUUUAGGCCUCGCAUUCAGUACACCUUCUGAUGCAAG
rnacentral:lncRNA from 1 species